UCCCGCAGUAACAUUUCUCGCCAUCUAAUUUAUCGCCGCAAAACCUCCCUCGCCGCAGUCACUUCCCCCGCCGCAGUCGCGUCCCACGUCGCAGUCCUUCCCACGCCGCAGUCCUUCCCACGCCGCAGUCAGUGUGUUUUGCCAGUGGCCGAGAGAAGCUUGGGUCAGGUGAGUGUGCUUUUGUUUUGUUUUGUUUCUGUGUUUUUCUCAGAAGUCAAAUUUGGCCGGAUCCGCAGUGCGUUUGUGUCAGCUGUCCAUCGCGAGUCAUCUUCUUGCUUGUCAGGAGCCAGGAUACCAUUUGUGGCAGGUUUGUCUGCCGCAGUCGUCACAGCCGUAUUUUCUUCUUUCUCCGCAGUCGCAAUCGUCAGGAAUCACAGGAAUGGUCAACCAGCCAGGUUGUGCUUAGUUGGCUUUGGAUAAGGAUAUUGAUGGAUUUAGUGGCGCGCUGUCUGGAAUAUGAUGGACCAGUGAGGAUGGACAAAUCCCUCGCCGCAGUCGUCUAGGCUUGGACCAGAGGAAUUCGUUGGCUGUGUCAGAUAAGUUUAUGAUUUAAUUAUGUUUUUGCGCAUUUAGUUUUAAAGAGUUUUUAAUUUUUAUUUCUCGCAGAUUUGUCCAUGGAAGCAGUCAAGGAUUUUCGGUUGCCAAAAAGCCCUUUAAGGCUGGCGCAGCGGAAGAUUUUUUUGUUGUUACUGGAUCAUAUUUGAGUCAGAUAAGUUUAUAGUAUAAUUUUUAUUUAAUGCGCAUUUAGCUUUUGUAAAUUUUUGUUUUUAUUUUUAUUUUUAGCAGAUUCAUCCACCGCAGCAGUCGGGGUUUGGAGGCCAAAAAUCAUUUUAAGCAGGUAAGUAGCUCUUUAGUUUAGAUUUAUUAUUGCGCUUGUGUAUUUUUUUAAUUUUUUUCUUUAUUUCUGUAGACGUAUCCCUCGCCGCAGUCGUGCUUACCAGGACCCUGGCAAGCCCAAGCGUAGUUCUGGCUGUGUGUUUGUAUGGAAUUUACUCGUCGCAGUUUUUAUGUGGUUGGGGUAGGCUUAUCCCUCGCCGCAGUCGUGUGGAAUUCCCUCGUCGCAGUCAAGGUGUGGUUGGGGUAGGAGGUGUAUCCCUCGCCGCAGUCGUGUGCACCCGAAGCCGGUCAGGACCCCAAUUGGGUUCCAAUAAUGAGACUGUGUGGAGUUCCCUCGCCGCAGUCAAAGUGUGGUUUGGGUAGGAAGUGUGUUUUAUUUUGGCUUUGUGUAUUGUGAGUGUGUUUUUGAUUAUGUUGUUAUUUUGUUUUUUGCAGGUAUAUCCCUCGCCGCAGUCAUGUGAACCCGAAGCCGGUCAGGGGCCCAAAUGGAUUCCAAUAAUGAGGCUGUGUGGAAUUCCCUCGCCGCAGUCAAGGUGUAGGUUGGGAUGUGUCCCCCGCCGCAGUCGUGUGCACCCGGAGCCUGUAGGAGCCCAAUUGGGUUCCAAUGUGUCUGUGUGGAAUUCCCUCGCCGCAGUCCAAGUGUGGUUUGGAUGUAUCCCUCGCCGCAGUCAUGUGCACCCGAAGCCGGUCAGGAGUCCAAGCGUGGUUCAGACAAGUGAAUUUGUUUUGUUUUUAUUUAU